rnacentral:rRNA from 1 species
CCUACGGGAGGCAGCAGUGAGGAAUAUUGGUCAAUGGACGAGAGUCUGAACCAGCCAAGUAGCGUGAAGGAUGACUGCCCUAUGGGUUGUAAACUUCUUUUAUAUGGGAAUAAAAUGUUCCACGUGUGGGAUUUUGUAUGUACCAUAUGAAUAAGGAUCGGCUAACUCCGUGCCAGCAGCCGCGGUAAUACGGAGGAUCCGAGCGUUAUCCGGAUUUAUUGGGUUUAAAGGGAGCGUAGGUGGAUUGUUAAGUCAGUUGUGAAAGUUUGCGGCUCAACCGUAAAAUUGCAGUUGAAACUGGCAGUCGUGAGUACAGUAGAGGUGGGCGGAAUUCGUGGUGUAGCGGUGAAAUGCUUAGAUAUCACGAAGAACUCCGAUUGCGAAGGCAGCUCACUGGACUGCAACUGACACCGAGGCUCGAAAGUGUGGGUAUCAAACAGGAUUAGAUACCCCAGUAGUC